AAUAAGAGCAUGACAAAUAAGAUUUUUACUACUGAUUUUCAACUUUUUUCUCCUGAAAAAAUUCAAAUCCAACUAAAAUUGCUAAAAAUUGAGAGGAAAAAUCCGAUUUGUCAUGCUCUUAUU
rfam:Gossypium raimondii Chr02_contig_341, whole genome shotgun sequence.